rnacentral:lncRNA from 1 species
GGUAAAUCAUUCCCAUUGGCAUUCUCAUGGGGCCUCAGGAAGGGUUGUCAGCAGAUUAUCCAGUUUAAUACCUCCUCCAGACCCCCUGUCACAUCCUGCACUUCCCCAGAACUCAAUGCCACUAAGGUUCUGUUGUCUCCCAGUCCUGUAUUGAACCUGGGGGUGAGUCAGCUCCCUGGGGCAGGUACAUUCCGUUCUGGCAGUGGCAGCCUGUUCAGGCAUUGCCUCUGUGAGCUGAGAGGACUUGCAGUCUUGUUUGUGGGGCUGGCACAGCACCUGCCCUCCCCUUCGGGCGGGUACAGCCUUUGCAUAAAGGAUGAGGAGGCUGUCAGGACAUUGGCACAACACCUGUGGGUUUUGGCCAAUCUCUCCUCUUCUCUUCAUUAUCUCAAAGCUUGUGGUAUGAUCUCGGUGCAGCAGCCAGGUGUAGGGGACUUCUGGAGAGAAGAGGAAGGAAGGAGGCUGGAGGUGGAUCUGAGAGUUUCUGGGUAAAUCGGAUCUGAAAUCAUCUGUCCAAGUGCAAGAGGGGAUUUUUGCUAGGGCUAGAGUCUUGUUAGAGUUGGAAGUUGUCCCUGUAGACCAACACAUCCCCCUUCUGUGAGCAGAUUUCUCCUGGAAUGCUGAGCAUUUGUUUAUGGUGAGUACAGUUGUUAUAAGCAAGAUAUGAAAUAGAAGGAUAUGAAAAUAAAACCACAGCUGGAAAUCA